CAGAAUUGGAAGAUCUUUGGGAUGCAGCAGGCCAAGGGUCUCCAAAAGCUUCUAGCCUCCCAUCCUUUUCCAAAUGAGGAAAACUGAGGCCAGAGAGGGGUGGGACCUAACCUACCCAGGGUCGGGUGAGUUUUUAGUGGAACUCAGACUGCUCUGAGACAGGGCAGAACGUGCGCAGCAAGUGGGAAGGAACCCAGAGGGGCCCCUACCUUCUUGCCAUCACACUUGGCCCAAGAGUGCAGAGCUCCAAGUUAUCCGCGGCUCACUUCUGCACUUUUCUGUCCACAGCAGUGGGCCUUGUCUGCUGGGAACAGCUCGUCAGAGGUGGAAGUGGUGCCCUUCCAGGAAGUGUGGGGUCGCAGCUACUGCCGGGCGCUGGAGAGGCUGGUGGACAUCGUGUCUGAGUACCCCAGCGAGGUGGAGCACAUAUUCAGCCCAUCCUGUGUCUCCCUGCUGCGCUGCACCGGCUGCUGCGGCGAUGAGAACCUGCACUGUGUGCCAGUGGAGACAGCCAAUGUCACCAUGCAGCUCCUAAAGAUCCGCUCUGGGGACCGGCCCUCCUACGUGGAGCUGACAUUCUCUCAGCACGUUCGCUGCGAGUGCCGGCCUCUGCGGGAGAAGAUGAAGCCGGAAAGGUGCGGCGAUGCUGUUCCCCGGAGGUAACCAGCCCCUUGGAGGAGAGAGACCCCGCACCCGGCUCGUGUAUUUAUUACCGUCACACUCUAAGUAACUCCUGCUGGUACCUGCCCUCUAUUUAUUAGCCAACUGUUUCCCUGCUGAAUGCCUCGCUCCCUCCAAGACGAGGGGCAGGGAAGGACAGGACCCUCAGGAAUUCAGUGCCUUCAACAAGUGAGAGAAAGAGAGAAGCCAGCC
rnacentral:sRNA from 1 species